rnacentral:rRNA from 1 species
UACGUAGGGUGCAAGCGUUGUCCGGAAUCAUUGGGCGUAAAGCGCGCGUAGGCGGCCCGAUAAGUCCGCUGUAAAAGUCAACGGCUCAACUGUUGAAAGCCGGUGGAUACUGUCGGGCUAGAGUACGGAAGAGGCAAGGUGGAAUUCCUGGUGUAGCGGUGGAAUGCGCAGAUAUCAGGAGGAACACCUAUAGCGAAGGCAGCUUGCUGGGACGUUACUGACGCUAAGGCGCGAAAGCGUGGGGAGCGAACAGGA